UGAGGAAUAUUGGUCAAUGGGCGUAGGCCUGAACCAGCCAAGUAGCGUGAAGGAUGACUGCCCUAUGGGUUGUAAACUUCUUUUAUAUGGGAAUAAAGUUUUCCACGUGUGGAAUUUUGUAUGUACCAUAUGAAUAAGGAUCGGCUAACUCCGUGCCAGCAGCCGCGGUAAUACGGAGGAUCCGAGCGUUAUCCGGAUUUAUUGGGUUUAAAGGGAGCGUAGGUGGACAGUUAAGUCAGUUGUGAAAGUUUGCGGCUCAACCGUAAAAUUGCAGUUGAUACUGGCUGUCUUGAGUACAGUAGAGGUGGGCGGAAUUCGUGGUGUAGCGGUGAAAUGCUUAGAUAUCACGAAGAACUCCGAUUGCGAAGGCAGCUCACUGGACUGCAACUGACACUGAUGCUCGAAAGUGUGGGUAUCAAACAGG
rnacentral:rRNA from 1 species